UACGAAGGGGGCUAGCGUUGUUCGGAAUCACUGGGCGUAAAGCGCACGUAGGCGGAUGUGUCAGUCAGGGGUGAAAUCCCGGAGCUCAACUCCGGAACUGCCUCUGAUACAGCACAUCUUGAGUUCGAGAGAGGUGGGUGGAAUUCCUAGUGUAGAGGUGAAAUUCGUAGAUAUUAGGAAGAACACCGGUGGCGAAGGCGGCCCACUGGCUCGAUACUGACGCUGAGGUGCGAAAGCCAGGGGAGCAAACGGG
rnacentral:rRNA from 1 species